UCCUUCUGUCUUUCCCUCUCACUGUCUGUAACUCUACCUCUCAAAUAAAUAAAAUCUUUAAAAAUAAAAGAAGUAUAAUUUGCUAAAUGGACCAGUUGGUUCACAGGCUCAAUUGAUAUCCCCAGACUAAGGUAUUCUGUUUUCAAAAGUGAAAUUAGUUUUGAUGAGUAUUUAACAUUUGGAAACUCCAACCAGAACUUGAAAUAACCUUUUUUUUUUCUUUUAAAGACCUUUCGUUUGCUGUCUAAAAUAAACCACUCAUUUGCAGAAAGGAAGAAGCACUUAACGCCAGGCCCAUGCACCAGUCCCACCACUCAUGACCCAGAGCAACAGGAGGAGAAUGCUUCCUUCCCGGACUUGGCUGUUCUUCCUUCUUCUGGGGUCCUUUUAGAAAACAACAGGAAGGAAAGGAGAAAAAAAGUAUCCGACAGUGGGGAAGCCUGAAGCUGCAACACAAAUAAUGAUUAUUCCUGUCAAGGUUUAGCCGUGGUUGCUAAGUUACUGGCCUGUUCUGAAAAACCUUGAAGUAUGGGACACAUUAGGAGCUCGUUAGGUCCCGGUGACUUGCGGUAAAUGUACAAUUUGUCUCUGUGCUAAACACACUUCAAAAAUAACAAUAAAAU
rnacentral:lncRNA from 1 species